CAUCCGCAGGCUCCGGCCUCCAGGCUGAGCUGAGCGAGUAUCUCUUCGAAAGGCUCACCCUCAAGCACGACUAGGAGC
rnacentral:pre_miRNA from 1 species